rnacentral:rRNA from 1 species
CCUACGGGCGGCAGCAGUGGGGAAUAUUGGACAAUGGGGGCAACCCUGAUCCAGCCAUGCCGCGUGUGUGAAGAAGGCCCUCGGGUUGUAAAGCACUUUCAGUGAGGAAGAACGCCUGGUGGUUAAUACCCAUCAGGAAAGACAUCACUCACAGAAGAAGCACCGGCUAACUCCGUGCCAGCAGCCGCGGUAAUACGGAGGGUGCGAGCGUUAAUCGGAAUUACUGGGCGUAAAGCGCGCGUAGGUGGCUUGAUAAGCCGGUUGUGAAAGCCCCGGGCUCAACCUGGGAACGGCAUCCGGAACUGUCAAGCUAGAGUGCAGGAGAGGAAGGUAGUAUUCCCGGUGUAGCGGUGAAAUGCGUAGAGAUCGGGAGGAAUACCAGUGGCGAAGGCGGCCUUCUGGACUGACACUGACACUGAGGUGCGAAAGCGUGGGUAGCAAACAGGAUUAGAUACCCCUGUAGUC